rnacentral:rRNA from 1 species
AUUGAACGCUGGCGGCAUGCUUUACACAUGCAAGUCGAACGGCAGCACGGGGGCAACCCUGGUGGCGAGUGGCGAACGGGUGAGUAACACAUCGGAACGUGUCCAGUUGUGGGGGAUAACCCAUCGAAAGGUGGGCUAAUACCGCAUGAGCUGGCGACAGGAAAGCAGGGGACCCGCAAGGGCCUUGUGCGAUUGGAGCGGCCGAUGUCGGAUUAGCUAGUUGGUAGGAACGGCCUACCAAGGCGACAAUCCGUAGCUGGUCUGAGAGGACGACCAGCCACACCGGAACUGAGACACGGUCCGGACUCCUACGGGAGGCAGCAGUGGGGAAUAUUGGACAAUGGGGGCAACCCUGAUCCAGCGACGCCGCGUGGGUGAAGAAGGCCUGCGGGGUUGUAAAGCCCGUUUCGGGUGGGGAAGAAAAGUCUCGACCUAAUACGUCGGGACCUUGACGUAACCCACUAAAGAAGCACCGGCUAACUCUGUGCCAGCAGCCGCU